UACGGAGGGUGCGAGCGUUGUCCGGAAUGACUGGGCGUAAAGCGCGCGUAGGCGGAUCGUCAAGUCGGGGGUGAAAUCCCGGGGCUCAACCCCGGAGUGGCCUUCGAGACUGGCGGUCUUGAGUUCGAGAGAGGUGGGUGGAAUUCCGAGUGUAGAGGUGAAAUUCGUAGAUAUUCGGAGGAACACCAGUGGCGAAGGCGGCCCACUGGCUCGACACUGACGCUGAGGCGCGAAAGCGUGGGGAGCAAACAGG
rnacentral:rRNA from 1 species